GCGGAUGUAGCUCAGUUGGUAGAGCACCUGCCUUCCAAGCAGGAUGUCGCCGGUUCGAACCCGGUCGUCCGCUCCA
rnacentral:tRNA from 1 species